AGUGAACGCUGGCGGUAGGCCUAACACAUGCAAGUCGAACGGCAGCACAGUAAGAGCUUGCUCUUACGGGUGGCGAGUGGCGGACGGGUGAGGAAUACAUCGGAAUCUACUUUUUCGUGGGGGAUAUCGUAGGGAAACUUACGCUAAUACCGCAUACGACCUACGGGUGAAAGCAGGGGAUCUUCGGACCUUGCGCGAUUGAAUGAGCCGAUGUCGGAUUAGCUAGUUGGCGGGGUAAAGGCCCACCAAGGCGACGAUCCGUAGCUGGUCUGAGAGGAUGAUCAGCCACACUGGAACUGGGACACGGUCCAGACUCCUACGGGAGGCAGCAGUGGGGAAUAUUGGACAAUGGGCGCAAGCCUGAUCCAGCCAUACCGCGUGGGUGAAGAAGGCCUUCGGGUUGUAAAGCCCUUUUGUUGGGAAAGAAAAGCAGCAGGUUAAUACCCCGCUGUUCUGACGGUACCCAAAGAAUAAGCACCGGCUAACUUCGUG
rnacentral:rRNA from 1 species